rnacentral:rRNA from 1 species
GAUGAACGCCAGCGGCAGGCUUAAUACAUGCAAGUCGAGGGGCAGCGGGAGUAGCAAUACUUGCCGGCGACCGGCGCACGGGUGCGUAACACGUAUAUAAUCUACCUAAAACUGGAGGAUAGCCCGAAGAAAUUCGGAUUAAUACUCCAUAACAUUGCGAGAUGGCAUCAUUUUGCAGUUAAAGCUCCGGCGGUUUUGGAUGAGUAUGCGUUCGAUUAGCUAGUUGGUGAGGUAACGGCUCACCAAGGCAACGAUCGAUAGGGGUACUGAGAGGUUACACCCCCACACUGGUACUGAGACACGGACCAGACUCCUACGGGAGGCAGCAGUAAGGAAUAUUGGACAAUGGUCGCAAGACUGAUCCAGCCAUGCCGCGUGCAGGAUGACUGCCCUAUGGGUUGUAAACUGCUUUUGUACGGGAAUAAACCCCUCUACGUGUAGAGGGCUGAAUGUACCGUAAGAAUAAGGAUCGGCUAACUUCGUGCCAGCAGCCGCGGUAAGACGAAGGAUCCAAGCGUUAUCCGGAUUUAUUGGGUUUAAAGGGUGCGUAGGCGGAUUUAUAAGUCAGUGGUGAAAGCCUGUUGCUUAACAACAGAACUGCCAUUGAUACUGUUGAUCUUGAAUAUGUUUGAUGUGGGCGGAAUAUGACAUGUAGCGGUGAAAUGCUUAGAUAUGUCAUAGAACACCGAUUGCGAAGGCAGCUCACAAAGCCAUUAUUGACGCUGAGGCACGAAAGCGUGGGGAUCAAACAGGAUUAGAUACCCUGGUAGUCCACGCUGUAAACUUUGAUCACUCGCUGUUGGCGAUACACUGUCAGCGGCUAAGCGAAAGCGUUAAGUGAUCCACCUGGGGAGUACGGUCGCAAGAUUGAAACUCAAAGGAAUUGACGGGGGCCCGCACAAGCGGUGGAGCAUGUGGUUUAAUUCGAUGAUACGCGAGGAACCUUACCAGGGCUUGAAAGUUAGCGACUAUAGGUGAAAGCU